AUGCACGCUGGCGGCGUGCCUAAUACAUGCAAGUCGAGCGAACAGACGAGGAGCUUACUCCUCUGACGUUAGCGGCGGACGGGUGAGUAACACGUGGAUAACCUACCUAUAAGACUGGGAUAACUUCGGGAAACCGGAGCUAAUACCGGAUAACAUGUUGAACCGCAUGGUUCAACAGUGAAAGACGGUCUUGCUGUCACUUAUAGAUGGAUCCGCGUCGCAUUAGCUAGUUGGUAAGGUAACGGCUUACCAAGGCAACGAUGCGUAGCCGACCUGAGAGGGUGAUCGGCCACACUGGAACUGAGACACGGUCCAGACUCCUACGGGAGGCAGCAGUAGGGAAUCUUCCGCAAUGGGCGAUAGCCUGACGGAGCAACGCCGCGUGAGUGAAGAAGGUCUUCGGAUCGUAAAACUCUGUUAUUAGGGAAGAACAAAUGUGUAAGUAACUAUGCACGUCUUGACGGUACCUAAUCAGAAAGCCACGGCUAACUACGUG
rnacentral:rRNA from 1 species